CUUAAAAUUAUGUUUAAAGUUAAAAAGUUUUGAAAUCUGGAGACAACUGGAAAUCCACAUGAAAAGGUUUGAGAGUCCUGUUUCCUUUAAUUUGGGCCAGCACACAGUGAGAGCACCCACCUACUGCUGUACUCAGCCUCGUGGCACUGCCCCCACUCUGCUUGUUAUCUAAGACAUGGAUUUGGAACAGUGCUUAGAAUCAGAGACAAUGGAAUGAGCACCUCCCCCUCUUUCUCAGGUUACAUUCCAGACUGGAGGCACUUACCAUCCUCCAAGGUUCAUCUGAGCCAGCCUUUCUACAAUAACACCUGCUUCGGUGCUGAAAGCACUUCCACUAAGGAGGAGAUAUGGGUAAUGUGAGAAAAAGAAACACAGGUUGCUACUUAGCUUCAAGCACUUCUUAUAAAAAACUUUGAACUAUCUACUUGAAUCUGUGGAACUCUAAGAGAUGUGAAUGUUUUCAAAGGCUUCUAGGAGUUGGACAACUUGAUCCUGUAUUACAGAUGGCAAGGAUUAUGAGUCUGAUACCCUCCUGCGUUAUAGCAGGGGAACAAAUCGUUAUCUUCAUAAUUUAUUCCAUGGCUUCUAGUUAGCAUCCCAAGUCUCAGGGAACACAACGGAAAUUGGUGAAGCAGUUAACAAACAUAGCAUCAUCCUCCACCUGUGCUGAAGCAGUAACAAUGGCAGUUGUUCUUGCAUCUUCUCUCAUAGACGCUGUGCAAUGAAGCUUGUGACGUUACACUUUUCCCAGAGUGUAGCUUAUUCAGACAAACUCAAGCUGCUGCCUCAUCAGCGGAACGUUUUGCUUGUGUGAAAUGUGUGCAGCUGUCAGGGAAAACCUUAUCGCCUCUGAAAACUGAGAAACUGGCUGGGAAUGCCUCUGCCACAAUGCUUGGGGUCCUACCUACCCAGCUUCUGGACAAUUGUCUACUCUUCAUCGCUGCCAGCCAGGCAGACUGAGACAGAGACAGACACUUCCGUGGAGGCGCUGACACUGAAUACCUCAUGCUUUUCAGUGAUGAACUUGGAAACCUUCCCAGACUGUACAUCUGCCUUUGCAUAAUAGCUUGUACUUCAGAAAAAGAGGCUUUCAAGGGAGAUAGUGAGAACAACCACAUCUAUUCACAGAGGGAGGGUGACAUUUCUUCCUUCUUUCAGGGACAAGUGCCUGCCUUGUUAAACUCUGCCCCCGUUGUUGUAGCUGCUGGUGAAUGUGUGUAGUCAGGAAGUGCCCACUUGGCACACAAGCCCCGCAGAGGGAAGCCUUGUGAUGGUGCCACAGCCUGGCCAGCUCAUCCAAAGGAGGCUACUUAGGAUGGGUGGAUGGGUCAGAAAGGGAGACCAAGCACCCUUGCGGCAAGGCCAAGGAGACGUUUCCACUCUCAUCUUUCUCAUCAACUUGUAGUAUCUAUUUUUCCUUUUCUGUUUUUGUUUGUUUGUUUGUUUUUCAGUAUGAUGGCCAAGUAGCCAGAUGCCAAUAAGGUUCUUUUGGUACUACCCAAGGAAAUUGAGACAAUGUAUUGUAAUUUUCCUUAGGGAACGGGCAGGGAAUGCACAGGCCCAACUGAUACUUUGUAAAUCUCUUUAAUGGGCUGAUUUAAUGAUUAAAUCUCACAUUUAUAUUCAAAUUUAUAUAAUUUCAGUGUCAAAGAGACAGAGAUACAGAAGAGGAAAUUCUGGUGGGGCGUAGGAAUUCUGGGCACCUGCGUGGGGUCCAAGCUAUUGUUCCUUUGACAAUGAUGGACAUCCUCUGCUGCCCAUAAUGGAAACAGAUGCCAACUCAAUUUCUGCAGGUUAGAAGACCAGAUGGGCUCAGCUGGGGACUCUGCUGAGAGACUUCAAGGCUGAAAUCAAUGUAUUAGCAGGGCUGCGUGUCUACUGGAGGCUCUGAGAAGAAUCCAAUUCCAAACUCAUUCAGGUUGGUGACAGAACUCAGUUUUAAGUGGUUGUAGGACUAACAUCCAGGUUCCCUUGCUGGCUGUUGGCCAGGUGUGGUUCUCAGCUUCUAGAGGCUACCACAUUCCCUCGCUUGUGGUCUCCUUCAUUUUCAAAGACGGCAAUGUGGGUCAAGUCCCUCUCAUGCUUCGAAUCCCUCUGACCCCCUCUUCUGCCUCAUCUCGCUGACCUCUCCUCCCAGCUGAAGCCAGUUCUCUGCUUCUAAUGGCUCAUGUGAUUAACUAGGAAGCACCAGGGCAAUCUGCCUAUUUUAAUGUCCUUAACUGUUAUUAUAUCUGCAAAGUUCCUUUGCCAUGUCAGGUAACAUAUUCACAGGUUCCAGGGAUCAGGGCCUGGACAUCGUUGGGGGCUAGUCUGCUUACUAUGCUGUUAAGAGUUGGCCAUAUCUCUGUCCCAUUAGGUCUUGCUCCUACCAGAUGCAUCCUUUAAUAUCCCCCUGAAGACUCGGGAUAUAUCCCCUAGCCUUUGCUUGCUUCUGUCUAGGAAGCAUACAAUGAUUCUUCUCAGAAAUGGCCUAUUUCCAAGAUCCCCACUCUUACCAAACCCUCACAUCCACACUUAUGCCACUUUAGGCUGCUCCUUCAAUUCUGACAGAUGGUCUCUUCUCUGCUAGUUGCCUGGAUGUCGGAAUAUCUGAUUUUAUCUGUCCUCUGCCCUAUCCUUGUUGGUCGGCAUGGCUUCCAAACUUGUCAGUCCUAACCUGGGGUCUCCAACUACGUCUUUAUGGAAGGUCUCAAGUCUUUCCAUAACUUCUCUGGUUCUGGCCCGAGUUAUUCAUCCUUCACCAUGAGGCACUGUUGUUCUCAUUUUUUUUGAGGAAGAUUAGCCCUGAGCUAACUACUGCCAGUCC